UGUUAUAGCCUUCGGCAGAUGUGAUGAUCGGGAUUGAGGAUUGCAACGGAUACCCUUCGGGGCUAACUGCCUGGUCUCUGAUCGUUGCUCUGGUGCCGAAAGCGUGCUUACGGUUAUCAAAGUCGAUGGUUAAUAGGUUAGAACGGGUUAAA
rnacentral:rRNA from 1 species